UCCAGUUCUACCCUGUUCUGAUUUUUUUCAGAACCCAGGCACUGGUAUUCUAUGCAAAUGAGAAAUUCGGAGGAAUCUUCACCUGUCAACCCACUCCUCACGCCAGACCUUGGCUGGGGAGUCGGUGCUGCCCGUGAGGGUCUGGCACGAAGUGCUUGCAACUAGGCAUAAGAAACAUCGGGGCAGGGGGGAAAAUUUCGGUUUUCUUGUCCCUGGUAUCCCCAUGGGAGAGCCGUUGCGAAGAUUGUGUGUAUUCACCCUAGGGUGGGUAUGACACUUUAGUGCAAUACGCAGCGUACUGCUUCUUUUUCUUUUCUUGGAGAAGAGGAGAACUGGUAUCAUUCGAUUCCGAUUACUCUGGUGGGGA
rfam:Coccidioides immitis H538.4 supercont1.9 genomic scaffold, whole genome shotgun sequence.